rnacentral:rRNA from 1 species
UACAGAGGGGGCAAGCGUUGUUCGGAUUUACUGGGCGUAAAGAGCGCGUAGGCGGUCUGUUAAGUGUGAAGUGAAAUCCCCAGGCUCAACCUGGGAACUGCGUCUGAUACUGGAUGGCUUGAAUCCGGGAGAGGGAUGCAGAAUUCCAGGUGUAGCGGUGAAAUGCGUAGAUAUCUGGAGGAAUACCGGUGGCGAAGGCGGCAUCCUGGACCGGCAUUGACGCUGAGGAGCGAAAGCUAGGGGAGCAAACGGG